GGAGGUUUGAGGUAUCGCUGGCAUUGUUACUGUAAAUUGUUAUUUGCUCUGAGAGGAGGUUUCUUUCAUUUAUUUUGUAAUUCUCAAAUUCUCUCAGUCGGCUUCAGCAUUUUCAACGAGAAAGAUGUGUGAAUUUUGUGUCGCGAGAGUUUGUGCGAAAUAAUAUACGUAAAUAUAGAAGGAAACUUAACACAUAAUAAAUUAAUAAAAGAUUUAUUAUUAUUAUUAAUAAUUUUUUUUUGGAAACGGAUAAAUAAAGAAGUACAAAACGAAACGAUUCGAGUGUUCGAGUGAAUAAACGGAAGAAAAAUAAGGGAGAGAGCGUUAUACAAACAGUAGUGAACAGAGAAUAAAACAAAUCAAGUGUGAAAAAAAAAAAAUCUAUAAAUAAUCCGAAUUGAAAAUACGAAAAUUGUAAAUUUAUUUAAUAAUUAACGAUCCACAUAACUACUAGUCCAAGAUUUUUAAAAAUAGAGAGAAUAUUACGAACUUUAUCGACUUUAUUGCGUUUAUAAAUCUUUUCUGUAUGAAUAUAUUCAAUUAAGAAAUUGCCUUUGUUGAGGAGGUAAUGCGAAGAGAUGAAUCCUGUUUUCGGGUCUUGUAGGGAAACAUAGAGAAAAACUAAUAAAAAUGUUAUGAGUCGUUGCAAGAGUUAUUGCUUAUAUAUGCCAACCAAAGAGAACUCCGUGUUGUUUGGUGUUUCUUAUGUACUCAAAACUUAAUUUACCGAGUGUACAAAGAUUUUUUUCCUGUGUUAAAAUUGCUCAAAAACAAAAACAAUGAAGAAACAAAAAUAAAUAAAUCAAACCGUUCGUUAUAUACACAUACUAUCAGGCAAAUCUGCGAAAACAUAUCUUAAAAGAUAAAGGAAAAAAAACACAAACUAUAAAAAUGAAAUCACAACAAACACUUUCAACUUAAUAAUAAGGCGAGAGACAGAGAGAGGGAGAAAGAGAGGUAGAAAGAGAACAACUAAUGAGAAAUUGAAAAACCAUUCUAUUUAGAUGAAAUAACAAAAAAAAAAAAAAAAAUUGUUUUAUAUCAAGUGUUUGGUCAAGUUAUUUAGUUAGUUUCAUCUCUAUGCAAACUCGGCAGACUCGCAUUCGCACACGCAAGCAGCAUACACCGACACCGAUGAACAUAAACAUAUUAUAUUCAUAAUGCACGCCAUGCGUUAAAAACCAAA